rnacentral:rRNA from 1 species
UACGUAGGGGGCAAGCGUUGUUCGGAAUUACUGGGCGUAAAGGGCGCGUAGGCGGCCUGCUAAGUCGAACGUGAAAUCCCUGGGCUCAACCCAGGAACUGCGUCCGAUACUGGUUGGCUUGAAUCCGGGAGAGGGAUGUGGAAUUCCAGGUGUAGCGGUGAAAUGCGUAGAUAUCUGGAGGAACACCGGUGGCGAAGGCGACAUCCUGGACCGGCAUUGACGCUGAGGCGCGAAAGCCAGGGGAGCAAACGGG